GACGAACGCUGGCGGCGUGCCUAAUACAUGCAAGUUGAGCGCUGAAGGUUGGUACUUGUACCAACUGGAUGAGCAGCGAAUGGGUGAGUAACGCGUGGGGAAUCUGCCUUUGAGCGGGGGACAACAUUUGGAAACGAAUGCUAAUACCGCAUAAAAACUUUAAACACAAGUUUUAAGUUUGAAAGAUGCAAUUGCAUCACUCAAAGAUGAUCCCGCGUUGUAUUAGCUAGUUGGUGAGGUAAAGGCUCACCAAGGCGAUGAUACAUAGCCGACCUGAGAGGGUGAUCGGCCACAUUGGGACUGAGACACGGCCCAAACUCCUACGGGAGGCAGCAGUAGGGAAUCUUCGGCAAUGGACGAGAGUCUGACCGAGCAACGCCGCGUGAGUGAAGAAGGUUUUCGGAUCGUAAAACUCUGUUGGUAGAGAAGAACGUUGGUGAGAGUGGAAAGCUCAUCAAGUGACGGUAACUACCCAGAAAGGGACGGCUAACUACGUG
rnacentral:rRNA from 1 species